ACGAACGCUGGCGGCGUGCCUAAUACAUGCAAGUAGAACGCACAGUUUAUACCGUAGCUUGCUACACCAUAGACUGUGAGUUGCGAACGGGUGAGUAACGCGUAGGUAACCUGCCUGGUAGCGGGGGAUAACUAUUGGAAACGAUAGCUAAUACCGCAUAAUAUUAAUUAUUGCAUGAUAAUUAAUUGAAAGGUGCAAUUGCACCACUACCAGAUGGACCUGCGUUGUAUUAGCUAGUAGGUGAGGUAACGGCUCACCUAGGCGACGAUACAUAGCCGACCUGAGAGGGUGAUCGGCCACCCUGGGACUGGGACACGGCCCAGACCCCUACGGGAGGCAGCAGUAGGGAAUCUUCGGCAAUGGACGAAAGUCUGACCGAGCAACGCCGCGUGAGUGAAGAAGGUUUUCGGAUCGUAAAGCUCUGUUGUAAGAGAAGAACGGGUGUGAGAGUGGAAAGUUCACACUGUGACGGUAUCUUACCAGAAAGGGACGGCUAACUACGUG
rnacentral:rRNA from 1 species